AGGAGUUGGUAAUGUGUUAGGGAGGAAAGGAUACUCAGUGCUAGCAGGGAGAGAACAGAAAUGAGCCUGGGUCCCCCUGGGACAAACAGAGGAGGAGGGGUGGUGGAUCCCCCCACAGCAGAUUGAGCUCUGAAGGCUUCCUGGUGCCUCAGGGAAAUGAGUCCUUGUUCUGUGUGCUGGAGGAAACUGGAAGUUGGACCCUUCUCUGCCCUUGCCCUGAAUUAACUGGGCAUCUAGCCUGUGAGGAUGUAAGGGCAUAUUCUCUUCAGAGAGACAUUGCAUCAAAGGACUUCCCUUUGACCACUGCCUCAAUGAAGGGGUAUACCUUGCUCCUUCAGGCUGUGCUCUGUGGGCCCUGGAAGUCCAUUGGCUUUGAGGAG